UUCCCAGAUGACCUGGAGGCUCUCAGGGGAGAAACUGCCAGCUCAACUCUCGCUAAGGCUGCAGAUGGCCAUGAAUACCAAACAACAAACCUGCUGACUACAUGGACUAUCACAGGAGAAACCCCCUUCCCACAGCAUGCUGGGACCUUAGAAAGGGACAUCUGGUGGUGACAUGUUUUAACCGGAUACAGCCUGGCCUUCCUAACCCCCAGGGAUGGACAAGUCUCAUUGAAGUGGACAGUGAGACCUCAGAUUCAACUAAAUGCCCAUCACAGUCGUGAGCACAGUGACGUCUGUGGGAAUGUGAGAUGAAUUAGUGAAGCUGCUGAAGAGGACCAGAGAUAAUCAAAGCUAGAACCCUGAGGUGUACUCAUUAGUCGCUACAAGGAUGAAAGUAGAGGGAGAAGAGGAAAAGCUUAGGGGACCAGACAGCCUGGCUGGAGAUAAAGCAGGGCUCAGCCCACUGGUCAAAAGGCAUGUGAUGAGCAGACAGGCAGAGUCACCCUGAUUGCAAAGGCAAAUGACUUGAAGGGAAAGUCCUGCGGUUUCUGGAGCCAGGCUGG